UACGGGGGGGGCAAGCGUUGUUCGGAAUUACUGGGCGUAAAGGGCUCGUAGGCGGCCAACUAAGUCGGACGUGAAAUCCCUCAGCUUAACUGGGGAACUGCAUCCGAUACUGGAUGGCUUGAAUCCGGGAGAGGGAUGCAGAAUUCCAGGUGUAGCGGUGAAAUGCGUAGAUAUCUGGAGGAAUACCGGUGGCGAAGGCGGCAUCCUGGACCGGCAUUGACGCUGAUGAGCGAAAGCUAGGGGAGCAAACGGG
rnacentral:rRNA from 1 species